rnacentral:rRNA from 1 species
AGAGUUUGAUCCUGGCUCAGAAUCAACGCUGGCGGCGUGCCUCAGACAUGCAAGUCGAACGAUUAAACUUUCCUUCGGGAAAGAUAUAAAGUGGCGCACGGGUGGGUAACACGUAAGUAAUCUACCUCUGGGUGGGGAAUAACAGUCGGAAACGACUGCUAAUACCGCAUAAUGCAGCGGCUCCUUAUGGAGACAGUUGUUAAAGUAUUUAUAUGCCUAGAGAGGAGCUUGCGGCAGAUUAGCUAGUUGGUAAGGUAACGGCUUACCAAGGCGACGAUCUGUAGCCGACCUGAGAGGGUGGCGGCACACUGACACUGAAUAACGGGUCAGACUCCUACGGGAGGCAGCAGUCGGGAAUUUUGGGCAAUGGGCGAAAGCCUGACCCAGCAACGCCGCGUGAAGGAUGAAGUCUUUCGGGAUGUAAACUUCGUAAGAAUAGGAAGAAUAAAUGACGGUACUAUUUGUAAGCUCCGGCUAACUCCGUGCCAGCAGCCGCGGUAAUACGGGGGGAGCAAGCGUUGUUCGGAUUUACUGGGCGUAAAGGGCGCGUAGGCGGCGCAACAAGUCACUUGUGAAAUCUCCGGGCUUAACUCGGAGCGGUCAAGUGAUACUGUGUGCUAGAGUGCGGAAGGGGC